GACGAACGCUGGCGGCGUGCCUAACACAUGCAAGUCGAGCGGGGGAAGGUAGCUUGCUACCGGACCUAGCGGCGGACGGGUGAGUAAUGCUUAGGAAUCUGCCUACUAGUGGGGGACAACAUCUCGAAAGGGAUGCUAAUACCGCAUACGUCCUACGGGAGAAAGCAGGGGAUCUUCGGACCUUGCGCUAAUAGAUGAGCCUAAGUCGGAUUAGCUAGUUGGUGGGGUAAAGGCCUACCAAGGCGACGAUCUGUAGCGGGUCUGAGAGGAUGAUCCGCCACACUGGGACUGAGACACGGCCCAGACUCCUACGGGAGGCAGCAGUGGGGAAUAUUGGACAAUGGGGGGAACCCUGAUCCAGCCAUGCCGCGUGUGUGAAGAAGGCCUUAUGGUUGUAAAGCACUUUAAGCGAGGAGGAGGCUACUUUAGUUAAUACCUAGAGAUAGUGGACGUUACUCGCAGAAUAAGCACCGGCUAACUCUGUGCCAGCCGCCGCCGUAA
rnacentral:rRNA from 1 species